rnacentral:sRNA from 1 species
UACUUCGUUUGCCGUCUCUUGGUUGCCA